UACAGAGGGUGCAAGCGUUGUUCGGAAUUAUUGGGCGUAAAGCGUGUGUAGGCGGGCCCGUAAGUGUCUUGUGAAAUCCCACGGCUCAACCGUGGAACUGCUGGGCAUACUGCGGGUCUUGGGCCAACUAGGGGCAGCCGGAACAAGCGGUGGAGCGGUGAAAUGCGUAGAUAUCAGGAAGAACACCCGUGGCGAAGGCGGCUCUCUGGGACGGUACUGACGCUGAGACGCGAAAGCGUGGGGAGCGAACAGG
rnacentral:rRNA from 1 species